rnacentral:rRNA from 1 species
UACGUAGGGUGCGAGCGUUGUCCGGAAUUACUGGGCGUAAAGAGCUCGUAGGUGGUUUGUCGCGUUGUUCGUGAAAAACUCACAGCUCAACUGUGGGCGUGCGGGCGAUACGGGCAGACUAGAGUACUGCAGGGGGAGACUGGAAUUCCUGGUGUAGCGGUGGAAUGCGCAGAUAAUCAGGAGGAACACCGGUGGCGAAGGCGGCCUGCUGGGCAGUUGCUGACACUGAGGCGCGACAGCGUUGGGGGAGCAAACAGG